rnacentral:rRNA from 1 species
GACGAACGCUGGCGGCGUGCUUAACACAUGCAAGUCGAACGGAAAGGCCCUGCUUUUGUGGGGUGCUCGAGUGGCGAACGGGUGAGUAACACGUGAGUAACCUGCCCUUGACUUUGGGAUAACUUCAGGAAACUGGGGCUAAUACCGGAUAGGAGCUCCUGCUGCAUGGUGGGGGUUGGAAAGUUUCGGCGGUUGGGGAUGGACUCGCGGCUUAUCAGCUUGUUGGUGGGGUAGUGGCUUACCAAGGCUUUGACGGGUAGCCGGCCUGAGGGGGUGACCGGCCACAUUGGGACUGAGAUACGGCCCAGACUCCUACGGGAGGCAGCAGUGGGGAAUAUUGCACAAUGGGCGGAAGACUGAUGCAGCAACGCUGCGUGCGGGAUGACGGCCUUCGGGUUGUAAACCGCUUUCGCCUGUGACGAAGCGUGAGUGACGGUAAUGGGUAAAGAAGCACCGGCUAACUACGUG